UCUGACUGUUUGUUUUAUGGAGCCCAUCUACAAUAACAGAAUAAAAACAAUGCAACUGAAAGUAUCGAUACUUGUUUUGUGCGCAAACAUAAAAUAUUAAUUGCCAAAGUGUGCGUGUUGUAUAUAGAUGUGUGUGUUUGAUACUCAAAGUUUGUACUUUUUUGACUUUAUCAAGCAGUCAGACCACACGCACACACACACACACAUGCAUUCUUAGGCAGACACACACACAUACACACAUGCAAUUUUAAACACCCACGUACACCCACACACACAGCCGCACAGCAGUCAAGCAUCUGGCAACUGUUUUUUUCAAGUGUUUUUAUUUUCUGCACUGAUUGAUUAAAGUUCACACCGACAAUACAGUCGCUACGUCUGUAUGUGUGUUUGUCUGUGUGUGUGUGUGUGUUUGUACCUGUGUAAAUAAACAAUCAAUACUUUUGCGUCUUAUAAGCUUGAUAAGCUCACACUUUUCGCACUUAAUAGACAAACUUAUUGUAGUGUAAAUUGCGUUGCAUUUACUACAAGGGUGUAAAAAUUCAUACGAAUAUAGUAAGUAGUGGGAUAGAGGGAGAGAGAGGGAAAGAGAAAGGAAGAGCGACGACUAAAGCAAGCAACGUUAUCGAAGCUUAUCUUGAGUAGCGUUUCAAUAGACGACGGCGAUUAAAAUGCGACAACAGCCGAGUCUCGCCGGACAAAACAGUUGGUCACAAAUGGAGAAUGGGACGUCAUUGACACUACAACGACGGCGACAACGAUGAGAAAUGUAAUUUGUCCAAAAUGGUAAAAAGGCAACCACAGCAACAGCAGCAACAACAACAACAACAACGACGAACGACCAGUGAGAAGAACGUGUGCGCAACACAUUGAAAAGGAAAGAACGAAGCAAGCAACAACAACCCAAGACAAGAAGAUAAAGUGUUGAGCGGGCAGAAUGCGGGACGACGACAGCGACGCUUGCUGCGCCGCCGCGCGUUUCCCUGUUGCUGCUGCUGUUGCUGCUCAGCAAGAAAGCAAGAGUAGCAAAUACGUGAGUGAAAUUAACAACGAAAGAAACGACGAUGGCCACAAAAGCGACUGCAACUGCAACUGCGACGGCGGCGACAUGCGCAGCCAGCAAGUAAAAAAAACAACAAUAAGAAACAGGAGCGCAACAACAA